AUAAUAAGUUUACAAUAAUACCUUAGUAGUUCAGGGUUAUCUGGUCAGGCUCCAGGCUCCAGAAGAAGACAAUAUUAUUAAGAUUAGCAAAGAGGUAUCUUCAGCUGAAACUUUGAAGCCCUGAAGCUAGCUUCCUGCCUCCUUUGACGAAGCCUCCUGCUUAAACCAGAAGACCAGAUCUAAAGCGUUUGACAAACAUUUGGCCAACCUUGAUGCUUUUGUCCAGGAGACCAAUUUAUUUGGAGAACUACAAUAUCAAACUUGCCAUGUCCAUGAUACCAAAUUUACCAAGCUCUUUCUAUGUUUCCAGUCCACUGAACCUAUGUAGCCACAGUAUGCCUUGAUUUGUCUUAGUUUGUUCUGCACUGUUAUUCAACUGUUCGAAAACGUUUACCGCUGUAACUUUUCAUAGGGUUUGAGUUGAUAAUUUUUCCAUCUUCCUAUUUGUUUCCCAAAACUUAGUGCUGAGUGUUUUCCCUUUAGUUGUCAUUGCACUUUAAUACCCAGAUCAUAAUUCCUGUAGUUGGGUAAGGUAUUGAUAGUUUAAUCAGUGCUAUGCUUCCGGCAUUUAUCUCAUUGCUGCCAUCAUUUACCUUUACUCUUUUUGCCAUUAAUUCGACUUUGUGCUAUUUAUUCGACAGUCAUACUUAUUUAAUUGUAGGUUGCUCUUGCAAA